UACAGAGGUCUCAAGCGUUGUUCGGAUUCAUUGGGCGUAAAGGGUGCGUAGGUGGCGCGGUAAGUCGGGUGUGAAAUUUCGGAGCUUAACUCCGAAACUGCAUUCGAUACUGCCGUGCUUGAGGACUGGAGAGGAGACUGGAAUUUACGGUGUAGCAGUGAAAUGCGUAGAGAUGUGGAGGAAUACCGAUGGCGAAGGCAGCCCCCUGGGAUAACACUGACGCUCAUGCACGAAAGCGUGGGGAGCAAACAGG
rnacentral:rRNA from 1 species